rnacentral:rRNA from 1 species
UACGAAGGGUGCAAGCGUUACUCGGAAUUACUGGGCGUAAAGCGUGCGUAGGUGGUCUGUUAAGUCUGAUGUGAAAGCCCUGGGCUCAACCUGGGAAUUGCAUUGGAUACUGGCAGGCUAGAGUGCGGUAGAGGGUAGUGGAAUUCCCGGUGUAGCAGUGAAAUGCGUAGAGAUCGGGAGGAACACCAGUGGCGAAGGCGACUACCUGGACCAGCACUGACACUGAGGCACGAAAGCGUGGGGAGCAAACAGGG